GGGUCACACAGAGUCGGACACGACUUAAGUGACUUAGCAGCAACAGACACCCACCAAGGGAUGAACUCAGUUUUCAGGGAACACCUUCCCUUCCAUUCCCUUCCCUUUCCUUCCCUUCCUUUCCUCCUUUCUAGCUUUUGGGAAAGCUUCAGGAAGGUUCCUGGUGCUCUUUAAGCCCCUAGGGAGCCUAAAGCUCACCCCUCAUUUCUAACCCCACCCCAACCCUAAGCCCUUCCCCAACCAGCAGCACAGGGCUCAUUAAAAAAAAAAAAAAAAAAACUAUUCAAAACUCAAGUAUCUAGCAGCCUCUCUGGUAACUGCAAGUGAGAACCUGAGUAAGAUCUGUAAAGAUCAUGUGAGUCAAGGGGGAAAUAAGGUCUAAUUUACGGAAGUCUCGUUUUGACCAGAUUUUCCCCAACCUCUGUCCACCCACCUAACCCCCCACCCACCCCGCGCGGGGUUUCCAACCCUCCCAGCCAGCCUUUCCUGACCCACCGUCCGUGACCCACCUUUCAGGCCAGGCUCCCAGUCCCCUCCCAUGGAAAUAUGACCUGUCACCUCAGCCGCUGGCUCAGACCACACACCGGGACACAGCCCAGCAGGAAAAGUCCAGAAGUGAUCAUCCCCACAGGCUCACGCCCCCUGGAGCAUCGCGGGACUCUGAGCACCGCCCAGAUCCGCAUCCGGAGCCUGGGCGGCGAGGGGGCGCGGGGGGUCCCGGUCUCUAACCCCCAGGUUCCAGGAAGUCUGCCGAGAGGCUGCACGCCCCCUCCUCCCACUUCCCGUCCUCCCCUCUCUCCCCGCCUUUCCCUCCGCCCCAUUCCCGGAUUGAAUUCCGGAAGAGUCCCCGAGCCUGCCGUGGGGUCCUGCAGGCGGUCCCUCUCCCGUCUGCUUUCUCUAUUAUUCUGAUCGACUCUCGGGGACACCGUUUGUCAACUGUCGAGAGCUAUGCAUAUGACCGGGGUUGGUAUUGUUAUUACUAAGAGGCGCUCGGUUUCGAAAUCGCUUUGAAUUUUCUGGCACCAAAUCUUGGCGGUUCCCGUGCCUGGAAGCCUCGGCCGCGUGGGUGUUUUUUCGUCCCUGUGACUUGCGGAGUGGAAACCCACUCCUGCUUUCCUGCUCGGGAAGACGGUGGUUUGAGACGGGAAACCAGGACUGUGUCGCUUCAGAAAGCCGGGAGCAAGACACGCCCCAGAGCUGGUUUAACCUGCUGUAACUAGACUGGCUGAAUUAACUAUCCCUCAACUGGACACAUGACCACUCAUUCCUAUGGAGGACUUUCAUCUGACAAACAUUUUCUCCUCUCCUUUGUCCAUCCCACUGGGAAGCAUCAACUGGCUACUCCUCCUCCAUCCUGACUCCGCCCCCAUCACCUGUCUGCCUCUCCCUCCUCCACCUUACCUAGUCAGUCGCUUGGAUCCUCCCCAAGCUCCACUGCUUAGCUCAGGCUCAUCAGAGCUCACCUGAACUGCGGUAGCCUCCUCCCCAUCUACCCAUCUACCCCAGCUCCAUUCCCCAUAAAAGCAGGUCUCAGCUUGCCACUUCUCUGCUGCUAAUCCUGUUUUGCAUCAGAGGCCAAGGCCCAGCCCUCAGGGACCAACGAGCAGGACAAACCAGGGUGCCUGAAUAAAACAUGCCUCUUCCAGUCAGUCACCCAGGAGAAACUUACUCAUCCCAGGAGGGGAGGCGGGGGAAGAAGCUCUAGGGAGGAUUCUGGCCCAGCCAACUCUCAUCAACCGAGGUGCCCCAGGGUUUUCCCAGUGGAUCAAUGGUAAAGUAUCUGUCAAUGCAGGAGACAGUGCGGGUUCUACCCCAGAAUUCGGAUGAUCCCCUGGAGGAGGAAAUGGCAAUUCACUCCAGUAUUCUUACCUGGAAAAUCCCAGAGACAGAGGACCCUGGCAGACUAUACAGUCCAUGAGGUUGCAAAAGAAUUGGACCUGACUGAGCAACUAAACCAUAACAACACCAUACAGGUGCCCUAACCUUGCAGGAUCUUAGUUCUAUAACCGGGGAUCAAAACUCAGCAGUGGAUGUGCACAGUCCUAACCCCUGCACCCCGAGGGAAUUCCCUAAAAGGAGAGGAUUUUUCUACCCUGCUGCCGUCUAUGGGGUCGCACAGGGUCGGACACGACUGAAGUGACUUAGCAGCAGCAGCAGCAGUGCUCCGUGAGAGAUGGUGAUAAGCGUACUGCAUGGCCCUGCCCCUUCCAGACCUCAAUUUUCCAUCUAUACAAUGGCAGUCUCGGGGACUGCAAGGACAUCAAACCAGUCAAUCCUAAAAGAAGUCAACCCUGAAUAUUCAUGGAAGGACUGAUGCUGAAGCUGAAGCUGCAGUACUUUGACUACAUGAUUUGACAAGCCGACCCAUUGGAAAAGACCCUAAUACUGGGGAAGAUUAACGGCAGGAGGAAAAGGGGGUGACAGAGGAUGAGAUGGUUGGAUAGCAUCACCAACUCAAUGGACAUGAAUUUGAACAAACUCCAGGAGAUAGUGGAGGCCAGAGGAGCCUGGUGUGCUGCAGGUCCGUGAGGUUGCAAAGAAUCAGACACAACUUACCAAAUGAAUAACAGUGAGAGUUUGAGACUAGGUUCCUGCCUUACUUCUUAAUCUUACAGCUAACCAACCAAACCAGUACCGAUGUAGUGGCCAUAAGAUGACCUUUGAUGGGCUGGGGAAGGGAUGGUAUAAAAUGGCAUUAAUGAAUGAGCAAAGUCCGGGAGAUAGUGGAGGACAGGGAAGUUGGGCGUGCUGCAGUCACUGGGGCUACAAAGAGUUGGACAUGACUUAGCAACUAAAAAACAACAACAACAAUAAAAGUCGGAGGCACUGCCAUCAGUUGAACAGGAUCACUCCUGUGGCUUUGGAGCAAGUGAUCAUGGGAAAGCUGCAUCUGCCUGCAUUGGGGACACCUGUCUCUCCUGCAAAUCAGUUCCCUAGGGCUUGGCAGCUUCUUCCCUCCCAUCACCUAUCUGCUUCUUCCAUCACCAAUCUGCCCACCUGCCUCUAUCCCUGAGGCCCUCAGGGAGGAGCUGACCCAGGGAAGGAGCUAGAGACAGCAGUGGAACAAGUUCUAUGGGGCAGAGGGAAGGCGCCUACCUCCCUAUUUAUUAACUGAGGUCCUGGCCUCCCUCCGGCCCUGAUCUAGGCAGAUCAGGCUCUGCCUAGCUUAGCCUGCCUGCCCGCUCCUCCCCACCUCCCUGUGCCCAUUCAAAGGAGGCAGCUCUCAUAUAUGCUGGAGCUUGACACACCCAGCUCCUUCCACCAGUCUAGCCUUCUCCUCUAACAGAAGAUGUCUGUGCCUGAGGCUGGGAGACCUGAGAUGCCUGCUAUGUUGAGCCUCCCUGGGAGGUGAGACCUGGCAAUCUGAGCCUUCAGAGCACACCCAGAGCCCCAGUUAGCAGGCAGCCAUCUCUCUCCAAAGCCUCCUGCUGGGCUCAGCACUGGCCUUUUCUCUCUCUGUCUCUUUACGAAAAAAAAAAGUAUUUAUUUAUUUGGUGGUAUCAGCCUGUAGGAUCUUCAAUCUUCGUUGCAGCAUGCAAGCUCUUAAUUGUGGAAUUGUCUAGUUCCCUGACCAGGGAUCGAACCCAGAUCUCCUGCGCUGGGGGCACGGAGUCUUAGCUACUGGACCAGCAGGGAGUUUCCUGGCCUUUUUCUUAAUGAUCUUAAUGAUGAGAGCCAAAGGGAAAAUACAUGGGAGUCAGAGGAACUGAGGCUGGAUAUUUUCCUGGCCCUUAUUCUCUCUCUCCCAUCCACCCUGGGUUUUCUGUUCCAGAUCAGCCCUAGCCCCAUGAUGAAGUCACUCUCCUUCUUGGGGCCUUCUAGUCCAGCUUCAAGAAGAGGGGCUUGGGCCCAGGAAGCUGCUUGUUACCAGAUGCCCCCAGGUGGUUCCAAGGCAGGUGCUGGGUGGACAGGGUUAAAGAAGCAGCUGUCUUGUACAUUCCAGAAAGGCUUUGUCUUACAUUCCUCCUGGAUGUACCCCUAGAAGCCAAGGGUCUGAAGUGAGCAACCAAGAGGCUGGGGCUUCUGGAAACAAGGCAGAUGAUCCUCUUUGUGGGACUUGACUCUGAAAGCUGCUACCAUCAGUGGUUAGGAUUCUGAGCUUCUACUGCCCGGGGCCCCAGUUCAAUCCCUGGUCAGGGAACAAGAUCAUACAAGCAACACAUUGCAGACAAAUAAAUUAAAAAAAAAAUUUUUUUUAAAGAAAUACCAAUCUUACAACCCAGCCAUUGCGUCCUUCGAUUCUUACCCAAGAAUGAAAACAUGUCCACACAAAGACGUUACACAAAUGUUUGUAGGAGUUUUUCUGGUAAUAACCCCAAACUGGAAACAACACAAAUAUCGACCAUUAGAAUGGAUAAACAAAUAUGGUAUAUCCAUACAACAGAAUGUUACUCAGCAGUCAAAAGGAACAAACGAUUGAUUCACACAACAUGGAUGAACUUCAAAAUAAUUAUGUUGAGUGAAAGAAGACCAAAAAGAGUAUAUUCUGUUUGAUUUCAUUUAGGUAAAAUUCUAGAAAGGGAAUCAGUGGUUACCUGGGGCGAAGGUAGAGAGAAAGAGGGAGAGAUUACAAAAGGGCACGGGACUUCCCUGGUGGUCCAGUGGUUAAAACUCCUUGCUCCCAAUGCCGGGAGCAUGACUUUGAUGCCUGGUCUUGGUCCUGCAUACUCCACAACACAGCCAAAAUAAUAGUGAUAAUGGCAUGAAGAAACUUCUAGGUAUGAUGAGUAGGUUCAUUACCUUUAUUAAAGUAAUGUUGACACGUGUUGAAACCCAAAUUAUUUUGUGCUUUGAAUAUGCACCGUUUGUUAUGUGUCCAUUGUAAUUUAAACAAAUUUUAUUGGAAGAUAUUUGCUUCGUAUUGUGCUGAUUUCUGCUAUCCAUCAACAUGAACCAGCCACAGGUAUACAAAUGUCCCCUCCCUCUUGAGCCUCCCUCCCAUCUCCGAC
ensembl:lncRNA